rnacentral:rRNA from 1 species
GAUGAACGCUGGCGGCGUGCCCAAUACAUGCAAGUCGAGCGAACGGACGAGAAGCUUGCUUCUCUGAUGUUAGCGGCGGACGGGUGAGUAACACGUGGAUAACCUACCUAUAAGACUGGGAUAACUUCGGGAAACCGGAGCUAAUACCGGAUAAUAUUUUGAACCGCAUGGUUCAAAAGUGAAAGACGGUCUUGCUGUCACUUAUAGAUGGAUCCGCGCUGCAUUAGCUAGUUGGUAAGGUAACGGCUUACCAAGGCAACGAUGCAUAGCCGACCUGAGAGGGUGAUCGGCCACACUGGAACUGAGACACGGUCCAGACUCCUACGGGAGGCAGCAGUAGGGAAUCUUCCGCAAUGGGCGAAAGCCUGACGGAGCAACGCCGCGUGAGUGAUGAAGGUCUUCGGAUCGUAAAACUCUGUUAUUAGGGAAGAACAUAUGUGUAAGUAACAGUGCACAUCUUGACGGUACCUAAUCAGAAAGCCACGGCUAACUACGUG